rnacentral:rRNA from 1 species
AGCGAACGCUGGCGGCAGGCCUAACACAUGCAAGUCGAACGAAGCCUUCGGGCUUAGUGGCGGACGGGUGAGUAACACGUGGGAACGUACCUUUUGGUUCGGAACAACUCAGGGAAACUUGAGCUAAUACCGGAUGAGCCCUAGGGGGAAAGAUUUAUCGCCGAAAGAGCGGCCCGCGUUAGAUUAGCUAGUUGGUGAGGUAAAGGCUCACCAAGGCAACGCUCUAUAGCUGGUCUGAGAGGAUGAUCAGCCACACUGGGACUGAGACACGGCCCAGACUCCUACGGGAGGCAGCAGUGGGGAAUCUUGCGCAAUGGGCGAAAGCCUGACGCAGCCAUGCCGCGUGAAUGAUGAAGGUCUUAGGAUUGUAAAAUUCUUUUACCAGGGACGAUAAUGACGGUACCUGGAGAAAAAGCCCCGGCUAACUUCGUGCCAGCCGCCGCCGUAACAC